GAUGAACGCUGGCGGCGUGCCUAAUACAUGCAAGUCGAGCGAACAGACGAGGAGCUUGCUCCUCUGACGUUAGCGGCGGACGGGUGAGUAACACGUGGAUAACCUACCUAUAAGACUUGGAUAACUUCGGGAAACCGGAUCUAAUACCGGAUAAUAUAUUGAACCGCAUGGUUCAAUAGUUAAAUACGGUUUUGCUGUCACUUAUAGAUUGAUCCGCGCCGCAUUAGCUAGUUGGUAAGGUAACGGCUUACCAAGGCAACGAUGCGUAGCCGACAUGAGAGGGUGAUCGGACACACUGGAACUGAGACACGGUACAGACUACUACGGGAGGCAGCAGUAGGGAAUCUUCCGCAAUGGGCGAAAGCCUGACGGAGCAACGCCGCGUGAGUGAUGAAGGUCUUAGGAUCGUAAAACUCUGUUAUUAGGGAAGAACAAAUGUGUAAGUAACUAUGCACGUAUUGACGGUAACUAAUCAGAAAGCAACGGCUAACUACGUG
rnacentral:rRNA from 1 species